AGAGUUUGAUCCUGGCUCAGAUUGAACGCUGGCGGCAUGCCUUACACAUGCAAGUCGAACGGCAGCACGAGAGCUUGCUCUUGGUGGCGAGUGGCGAACGGGUGAGUAAUAUAUCGGAACGUACCCUAGAGUGGGGGAUAACGUAGCGAAAGUUACGCUAAUACCGCAUACGAUCUACGGAUGAAAGUGGGGGAUCGCAAGACCUCAUGCUCAUGGAGCGGCCGAUAUCUGAUUAGCUAGUUGGUGGGGUAAAAGCUCACCAAGGCGACGAUCAGUAGCUGGUCUGAGAGGACGACCAGCCACACUGGAACUGAGACACGGUCCAGACUCCUACGGGAGGCAGCAGUGGGGAAUUUUGGACAAUGGGCGCAAGCCUGAUCCAGCAAUGCCGCGUGAGUGAAGAAGGCCUUCGGGUUGUAAAGCUCUUUUGUCAGGGAAGAGACGGUGGACUCUAAUACAGAUCACUAAUGACGGUACCUGAAGAAUAAGCACCGGCUAACUACGUGCCAGCAGCCGCGGUAAUACGUAGGGUGCAAGCGUUAAUCGGAAUUACUGGGCGUAAAGCGUGCGCAGGCGGUUGUGCAAGACAGAUGUGAAAUCCCCGGGCUCAACCUGGGAAUUGCAUUUGUGACUGCACGGCUAGAGUGUGUCAGAGGGGGGUAGAAUUCCACGUGUAGCAGUGAAAUGCGUAGAGAUGUGGAGGAAUACCGAUGGCGAAGGCAGCCCCCUGGGAUAACACUGACGCUCAUGCACGAAAGCGUGGGGAGCAAACAGGAUUAGAUACCCUGGUAGUCCACGCCCUAAACGAUGUCUACUAGUUGUCGGGUCUUAAUUGACUUGGUAACGCAGCUAACGCGUGAAGUAGACCGCCUGGGGAGUACGGUCGCAAGAUUAAAACUCAAAGGAAUUGACGGGGACCCGCACAAGCGGUGGAUGAUGUGGAUUAAUUCGAUGCAACGCGAAAAACCUUACCUACCCUUGACAUGUCUGGAAUCCUUGAGAGAUCAGGGAGUGCUCGAAAGAGAAUCAGAACACAGGUGCUGCAUGGCUGUCGUCAGCUCGUGUCGUGAGAUGUUGGGUUAAGUCCCGCAACGAGCGCAACCCUUGUCAUUAGCUGCUACGAAAGGGCACUCUAAUGAGACUGCCGGUGACAAACCGGAGGAAGGUGGGGAUGACGUCAAGUCCUCAUGGCCCUUAUGGGUAGGGCUUCACACGUCAUACAAUGGUACAUACAGAGGGCCGCCAACCCGCGAGGGGGAGCUAAUCCCAGAAAGUGUAUCGUAGUCCGGAUUGUAGUCUGCAACUCGACUACAUGAAGUUGGAAUCGCUAGUAAUCGCGGAUCAGCAUGUCGCGGUGAAUACGUUCCCGGGUCUUGUACACACCGCCCGUCACACCAUGGGAGCGGGUUUCACCAGAAGUGGGUAGCCUAACCGCAAGGAGGGCGCUCACCACGGUGGGAUUCGUGACUGGGGUGAAGUCGUAACAAGGUA
rnacentral:rRNA from 1 species